CACUCUUUAACAGUGAUAUAGGUUUAUUUUAAAAAUUCUGGAAUAAUCAAAGCGUGACUUUUUAGUAUUUUAUUCGAAAAUCUGAAAACUCAAUGUUAUUGUAAUAAAACUUUGUCUGUUUAUUUGAUUACUUUUUAUUAUUUUAAUUGCUAAGAUAAAACCCCCCAAUAAUUAAACUCCUCACCUUUAGCGACAACCACGGGUUGCUUGCGCAUCCAACUAUAAAUGUAGUUUUAAAAUUGACCGAUCAGACAGCUAACAUCCCACGACUCCCACAGCCGGUGAGGGACGUAAUGUUCAAUUAAGCUCCAGACGCAGGAAGAGUAAAGCCAACUAAGAGAGUGUUAGUCGAUAAAGGAGUUACAGUGUACAGCUAUAGUCGAGACGAUCCCCCGGGGCACUUUUAUUUCGCCUUUUCCCUUACAUUUUUAUAAAAAAUAUACAUUAUAUUAUAAUCCUCCCGAGCGUCAUUGUCUUAAUAAAUCAAAUAUAUUUCUUUA